AAAAGAUUGAGCUGCACUGCAUUCCUAAUGUAUCGCCAUCACUAACUGGAUAUUCCUCACAACUUUGCUGUCCGCAGUGGCUGGCACUUUUCCUCCACGCUUUGAGAGAAAGAGAAUUGGCUGGAAUAAAACCUUGCCUUCCAUAUGGUCGACUUGAAAUACAGCAUUGA
rnacentral:lncRNA from 1 species